GGGUGUGAUCAUACUAGAAUUAAUGCACCGACUCCAAUAAAAAAUCUACAGUUAAGCAUGCUUUUCCUAGAGUAACACUUGGAUGGGUGACCUAUUGGGAAGUCUUGGUGUUACACCCU
rnacentral:rRNA from 1 species